rnacentral:rRNA from 1 species
UACGAAGGGUGCAAGCGUUACUCGGAAUUACUGGGCGUAAAGCGUGCGUAGGUGGUUUGUUAAGUCUGUUGUGAAAGCCCCGGGCUCAACCUGGGAAUGGCAAUGGAUACUGGCAAGCUAGAGUGCGGUAGAGGGUAGUGGAAUUCCCGGUGUAGCGGUGAAAUGCGUAGAGAUCGGGAGGAACACCAGUGGCGAAGGCGGCUACCUGGACCAGCACUGACACUGAGGCACGAAGCGUGGGAGCAACAGG